rnacentral:rRNA from 1 species
CUCUUGCUUCACAUAAGAGGUCCAGCCUGCCCAGUGAAAUUUUAACGGCCGCGGUACCCUGACCGUGCGAAGGUAGCAUAAUCACUCGUUCUCUAAAUAGGGACUUGUAUCAAUGGCAUCACGAGGGUCAUACUGUCUCCUCUCUCCAAUCAGUGAACCUAAUCUCCCCGUGAAGAAGCGGGGUUGCACCCAUAAGACGAGAAGACCCCAUGGAGCUUUAAACCUUAAAGCAAUUUAAAUAAAAUAUUUCCACAUAUACUUUAGAUAUGCAUGAAGGUUUUGGGUUGGGGUGACCGCGGAGUAAAAACAAACCUCCACAACGAAAAGAACUAAAUCUUUAUCUAAGAACUACUAUUCUAAGAAUCAACACACUGACGAAUACUGAUCCAAUAAUCGAUCAAUGAACCAAGUUACCCUGGGGAUAACAGCGCAAUCUACUUCGAGAGCUCAUAUCGACAAGUAGGCUUACGACCUCGAUGUUGGAUCAGGGUAUCCCAGUGGUGCAGCCGCUACUAAUGGUUCGUUUGUUCAACGAUUAAACCCC